rnacentral:rRNA from 1 species
GAUCAUGGCUCAGGAUGAACGCUGGCGGCGUGCCUAAUACAUGCAAGUGAAACGGGUAUCUUCGGAUACCAGUCGCGGACGGGUGAGUAAUACAUAGGCAACCUGCCCUUAUGAGGGGGAUAACCGAGGGAAACUUUGGCUAAUACCGCAUGAAGACUCUAAGGCAUCUUAGAGGGAUAAAAGUUGGGAAACAACGCAUGAAGAUGGGCUUAUGGCGCAUUAGCUAGUUGGUGAGAUAGAAGCCCACCAAGGUAAUGAUGCGUAGCCGACCUGAGAGGGUGAACGGCCACAUUGGGACUGAGACACGGCCCAAACUCCUACGGGAGGCAGCAGUAGGGAAUUUUCGGCAAUGGGGGGAACCCUGACCGAGCAACGCCGCGUGAAGGAAAAGAAGGUUUUCGGAUUGUAAACUUCUGUUAUAAGGGAAGAACGGAUUGGAUAGGGAAUGAUCUGAUAGUGACGGUACCUUAUUAGAAAGCCACGGCUAACUACGUGCCAGCAGCUGC